rnacentral:lncRNA from 10 species
GCUUUCACGCCUUCCCUUUUUUCUUUUCUCUCUUCCUUCCUUCUUCCGUUCCUCUUCCUUCCCUCCCUCUUGACCUUCCUCUCUCCCUCCCUUCUUUCCUUCCUUCCUGUGGCUCUCCUUUGUGAGUGACCUACCUCCGCUUCCUACUCUGUGACUUUGCACAUUCAAUCAUUGCCUGGCUCCACCAGCAGUAUAUAAGGUGAAAGAGGAUCCUGCCAGCUGUUCUAGGCCCAGAGGACACCUCUCUCUCUCUCUCUGUCACUCACACACACACACACACACACACACACUCUCUCUCUCUCUCUCACACACACCCACUUAUUGAUGGGGUAAUAGGAUCAAGAGGUAGCUUUGCAUCAUCAAAAAGAAGUCAGUCAUUCUAGCCUGGAGCUUUAGAAGACGAAGUAAAAAAGAAGUCAGACAGUCCUAGCUUUGAAUCCUGGCCCAGCCACUUACUAGGUGGGAGACCUUGGGAGCGAGUCCAGCGGAUUCGUGGAAAUGGAUGGAGGCUGCUGAGUUGAGAGACUGAGAAGUGGAGGUACCUAGGAAGGUCCUCCCUGAAAAUACAUCGGGUUGUAAAACCUGGAAAGAAAUACCUCCAUUUGUCAGGCACUCACAGGGCGCUCUCCUCUGGCAGCUCCCAUGUUGAGCGCCCAGGGCAGCGACCAGACGGCGUCCUGUCCUCCUGCACGGGGCCAGAACUGGAUGGUCCCGCGACACAUCGUGUCUGCAGCUUUAGAGGCCUCCCCAGGAGUGCUACCGCGGUCAUUUCUGCCCAGCUGUAAAAUAACACCCAAUCAGCGAGCCGCCAGCUGCAAACUGUUCCGACCUACUCCUCCCUCCCCGGCUUAAUUCCCACCUAUACCAAAGUGGCCCCACGCGGGCAGAAGCGAAAGACGGAAAUGAGGGGAGGCCAACUACUCGAGAUCUGCGCCCGAAGCAGAUUUUCCACGCGCUCAGAGUAGGGUCGGGGAAAGGCCCACUUGGGGCUUCUGAGAGAGAGGGAAGGGCAGGGAAAGGGCUGCCCCCCAGCAAGACACAGUUGGGUGAACAACUGAGUCUUUGCCUCGUUGACAAAGGAGAAUGAGGGACUCGCGCCAGGCUGGCUUGAACUGACUGGAGAAAAGCGACUUCUGUAAUUCAGGGCCCUCCUCGUGCGAAGGAAACUUUGGCAAAGCAGAAAGACAGGCAUGCAGUUUCCAGGCGGAAAAACGUGAACCAUGGGACAUGAUGGGCUCCAGGGCCGUGGAUGCAGUUGCCCGAGGCCCCAGGGCCGCCCCCGGAAGGCCGGGACUGCCAGGGACUCGGCGUGGGGGUGCUGACUGCCGCUCCAGGCCUCGGGGUUCAAGCACUCCAGCAGCAUCCGCUCACCACGCUCCCCGCCCACUUCCAUGAUCACGAGGGGGCAAGGCUAGCCAAUCCGGGGUGGCCACUGCCCGGCCCUGCGAGGACUCGAGGCGCACUGGGAAACUGCGCGGUGCCUAGAGGUACAAAGAACAGGUCCUGGGAGGGUAGUAGGAGGGGACCUUAGCACAGCCUAUGUCAGUUUGUCAACAAGGAUUUGCUGAGAAGUCGCACUGUGCUCAGCAUAGCGGCACUGCCUACCUAAUGGGCUUUGGGGCAUAGACAGUGAAUAACCUGGCAGUGAUAAUAGUGUGCUGAAAGAAAGGCCAGCCCCAACAGCCACUACAGGAACCUCAGAAAGGAGGGGGCGUCCCUGUUAGUGGCUGAUACUGGAUUUCUCUCAUUGUGUUCGUGGCUGGCGCCAAACCAGAGAUCAUAAUGUAUAACAAAUAAAUGUGAAGUUUCUUACAUCCAAGUGGCCAGGGAAAACCUAUACUAAUUACAUGGUACAAACCCGCUGUGAUCAGGUGCUAAAUUGGGUGGCAGUCAGAGUACAGCUGUAGAGAUAUCUCUGAGGGCCAGAGUGAUCAGGAAAAGCUUUGUGGAAGAGGAAGAACUGGAGUUAGGUGCUGAAUGACGGGCAGGAUAUGGACAAGCAGAGGAAAGUGGGAAGGCGUUCCAGGAGGGAAGGGGCAGCAUAGCCAAAGCCCGGGGGAUGAGCAUGGUGGGUUUAUGGGGUUUUAGAGGGAUUAGCCUGUUUGGAGUGUAGCAGGUGCUCUGAAGAGCAUGGGACAGAAGAGAGCACAGGCAGCUGGAGGGUAGAGAUGGGGGCUAAUUGCAGAAUCCCACAGUGCCUAGGAAGGUCUCAGCUGUCAGGGUCUUCUCCUGAGACUCAUUCUCAGCUCCUUUUGGGGUUUAGGAAAGAUCUUUCAUGAGAGUUCCAAACAUUUUAGUUAAUGUUUAAUUCCUUCUCACUGAAUCCCCAUGGAAGGGGGCAAAAAGCAAGUGCUACUCCUCCAAGGUACUAAAACCCUGGUGCUGAGGAUGAGGCUGCUCCAGAGGGACCUCUGAGAGAGAGAGAGAGAUGGUAUCUUAUGAGUUGCAUAAGUCUUUUAGGCAAGAAAGCAGGAGGAGAUACUGAAGGGACCCCCUAAGGAAGCAGAAAAGCUUUACCUUCUCCUCUGCAAGAGGCAUCAGGAUUCCCUUUGAAAACAGAGCAGAGGACGGCGCAGAAAAAUUCAAGAAUGUUUGCUCUCACCACUUCUAUUUAGCUUUAUACAGGAGAUCCUAGCCAGUGCAAAAGGGCAAGAAAAGACAUUAAAGACACGCAGACUGAAGCAGGAAGAAGUAAAACUGUCCUUAUUACAGGUGGCAUGAUUUUGUAUGUAGAAAAGCCUAAGAAAUCUACAAAAAUCUACUAGAACGAAUAAGCAAACUUAGUAAGGUUGCAGGAUACACUAUAACAAACUGUCCAAAAAUGAAGUUAAGAAAACAAUUCCACUCAUAAUAGCAUAAAAAGAAUAAAAUACUUAGGAAUAAUUUUAACAAAACAAAUGUAAGACCUAUGUACUGAAAACCUUAAAACAUUGCUGAGAAAAUUCUAAAAAGAUCUAAACAAAUGGAAAGACACACAAUGUUCAUGGAUCGGAAGAUUCAAUAUUGUUAAGAUAGUAAUUGUCCCCAAAUUAAACUAUAGUUUCAGCUCAACCCAUAUCAAAAUAGGUUGUUUUUUGUAGGACUUGACAAGCUGAUACUAAAAUUUAUAUGAAAAUGCAAAGGAUCUAGAGAAAUCAAAACAACUUUGAAAAAGAACAAAGUUGGAGGAUUUAAAAAAUAAAGCUACAGUGAUCAAAACAGUGUGGUAUUGACUUAAAGAUAGGCAUACAUCCAUAGAACAGAGUAUAUUCCAGAAAUAAACUCUUACAUUUAUGGUCUAUUGAUUUUUGACAAGGGUGUCAAGGUAAUUCAAUAGUCAUCCAUAAAUGAUGCUGGAGCAAUGGAUAUUCCUGUGCAAAAAAAAAAAAACUUACAUUCUUACCUCACAACAACCAUAUGCAAAAAUUAACUAAAAAUGAAUCACAGCCUAAAUGUAAGAGUUAAACUAUAAAAUUCCUAGAAGAAAUCAUAGGAGAAACAUGGAUUAGGGCAAAGGCUUCUUAGAUGUGAUACCAAAAACGUGAUCCUUAAAAAAAUUAAUAAACUCAACUUUAUCAAAAUUUAAAACUUUUGUUUUUCAGAAGAUACCAUUGAGAAAAUGGAAAGGCAAGCCACAGACUUGAAUAAAAUAUUUGCAAAUCAUAUACCUGAUAAGGUAUUUAUAUUCAGAAAUAUAAAGAAUUCAAUAAGACAAACUGAUUUUUUUAAUGAGCAAGAUUUGAAUAUAUAUUGCACCAAAGCAGACAUAUGAAUGGUGAAUAAGCAUAUAAAAAGAUGUUCAACAUCAUUACUCAUUAGAGAAAUUCAAAUUAAAACUAUAAUGAACUAUUAAUACCCACUGACAAUAUCAAGUGUCAGCAAGGAUGUGGCAAAAUUGAAACCAUAGAAUGGUACAGCUAAUUUAGAUAAUUGUUUGGAAGUUUCUCAAAAUGUUAAAUAUAUUUGCUAUAUGACCCAGCAAUUAAACUCCUAAAUAUCUACCCAAGAGAAAUGAAGACACAGAUUCACAUAAAGACUUAUAUGCAAAUGUUCAUAGCCAUGUUAUACGUACUAGCCCAAGCUGGAAAUAAUCCAAAUGUCCUUUAGCUGGUGUAUAAACAAAAUGUGGUAUAUUCAUACAAUGGACUACUACUUGGCAAUAAAAAGGAAUGAACUACAGAUACAUGCAACAAUAUGGAUGAAUUUCAAAAACAUGCUAAGUAGAAAAAGUCAGAUAAAAAAUGUUUUGUAUAAUUUCACUUAUGUGAAAUUUCUAGAAAAGGCAAAAUAUAGAAGUAUUCUAAAGUUGAAUUAUUAUUAUAAUUGUGAUUAUUGUACAAGAGUAUAAAUUUACUUAAAAUCAAACAGUACCCUUAUAAUAGGUAAAUUUUAUGGUAUAUAAAUUAUACUUCAAUAAAGCUGUUAAAGGACAGAGAGACUGCUAGAUAGGUCCUUGGGGAGAGGGUGGGGUGUGUGUGUGUGUUUGUGUGUAUGUGUGUGUGUGCGGUUAUAGGAGGGCAGAAAACACCUAUGGGAGAUAGUAAUGAAUUUAAGUGCAAUGAAAAAACACAGGGGCUCUGGAGCCAGCAUGCUAGGUUUGAAUCUUGGUUCUACUACUUACUAUAUGAACUUGAGACAAAUUACUUACCCUCUUCAAGCCUCAGUUUUUCCCUCUGAAAUGAGGCUAAUGGUAAAUCUCAAGGUAGUUGUACCACUAAAAAUGAUAUAUAUAUUGGCUGGGUGCAGUGGCUCAUGCCUGUAAUCCCAGCACUUUGGGAGACCUAGGUAGGAGGAUUGCUUGAGGCCAGGAAUUGAAGACCAGCCUGGGCCACAUAGCAAGACCCUGACUCUAGAAAAAAUAAGAAAUUAGCCAGGCAUGGUGGCAUCUAUAGUUCUAGCUAUUUAGGAUGCUGAGGUGGGAGGAUCAGUUGACAGGAGUUUGAGGCUGCAGUGAACUAUGAUUGCGCCACUGCACUCCAGCCUGGGUGACAGAGCAAGACCUUGUCUCUAAGAAAAAAAGAAAAAAAAAGAAUUAAAAAUAUAAAAAUAAUGUAUAUUGAAGGUAAUGUAUGGGAUGUGAGGGAAAAUUCUGAAACCAAUUACUUCUACAGAAAAUUCAGAGCUUUGUUGUAACUGAAGAAUUGUGGGUUCUCUGGGUAUAUUAUAGCAGAAUUAUAAGCCUCUCACUGAACUGAAUAAGCGGCCUUAUUAGUGAAGAAGGCUGGGACCGUGGCCAAAAGCCUUGGUUUCCAGUACUGGUUCUGCUACCAUUACACCAUGUGACUAUAAAAGGGUUCCAUAUCUAGGGGUUCCUAGAUACGUCCCCCUCCCAAAAGGGGUUGUUGGGGUGCUUCCGAAGUCAGAGCUUAUUACCACCAUAAAAAAUGCUGGGUAUAAGGUAAUGAUGGCACAGAGGACAGGGUGGUGGCUGGGGCCCAGCGUGAGAGAUCAACAUCUCUGUGCCUGUGAACUGGGAUAUGAGAAGAGUAGCUUAGCAGGGGGCCAUGGAAAUUUUCACAAACCAAAAUUGGCAUUUGGAGCUGAGCUGGAAAGUUGUGAACACAGGAUGUUGCUGAAAAUGGUGCCCAACAGCGCUGCUACCUGAGGUUUUGGCAGGCUUCACCCCCUGCUAGUUGAUUGCAGAAGGAUGUUGGGUCAUCAGGAAAUAGGGGUUUGAAAUGAUCCCACAGGAAGGUGUGAACAAAAACAGAAGCAACAACAAGAAAACAGCCUAGUCAGGUUAGCUGGGGGGCGGGUGGGUGUUGGAUGGGAGACAAGUGAGUUCUCACUUUCUUCAACACUUUAGAAACUUCUAAGGAGGAGCCCUGCUGGCAUUCAAGGAUGGCACUGUGAUAGGUCCCCAUUUAUCCCUCCAUCCUCCAUGAACACCUCCUGGGGGUGGACCGGGAGAGCAGCAGCUUGCCAGGGGGACUCAUUUCUGGUUCAGGAUGUUGGAAGUCUCCAUGUAGCAGUUUGUAGUGGACACUGCUAUUUUUUUGGAUACCUAGCACACACUCCCACUUUUUUCUGGUGAGAUCACUUGGAUUAUUUGGGGGGAAUUUCUUCUUCCCCAUUACAUACAGUCUUGGUGGGGCUGUCAAUAAGGCAUUCUGCCCUCGUUUAGCCAAUUAAAUUCUCUCUCUCUGAAUUGAGCUGAGUGGUGAGAAAGAAUGGAAAAAAACCUGUUGGAGAAGACCUAAUUCCAUGGACCUCACUCAACCUUUACUCACUCCUGCUCCUGAAAUCUCAGCUCAGCUCUGCCCCAGUUUCUUAACUGUUCUUCCAUUCUGUGAACCCCUGAUAUCAUCCAUUAAACUGUUUUGCUUAAGUUAGCUGUGGCCCAUUUCUGUUACAAAGAACAAACAACAUGACUGUGACACUGCAUGGGAGAGUUUUCAUGAGGGACUUGCAGGGGAAUCGAAGGAGCCUGGCUUCAGGUACCCACUUUCAGUCUUCUGAUUUUUCAACUUUCUAGCCAUGUGACCACAGGCAAGUCACUAUAUCCCUCUGAGCCUCAACUUCUGUAAAGUUGAGAUAUUGUUACUUUGCAGCACUGUCAGGAUUAAAUGUGUUUAUUCAAUUAUUC